UACGUAGGGGGGCUAGCGUUGUCCGGAAUCAUUGGGCGUAAAGCGCGUGUAGGCGGCCCGGUAAGUCCGCUGUGAAAGUCGGGGGGCUCAACCCUCGGAUGCCGGUGGAUACUGUCGGGCUAGAGUGCGGAAGAGGCGAGUGGAAUUCCUGGUGUAGCGGUGAAAAUGCGCAGAUAUCAGGAGGAACACCGGUGGCGAAGGCGG
rnacentral:rRNA from 1 species